AUUGAAAUGUGGUUUCAAUUCAUAAUCGAUCGUUAAGAGUAAGAAUUGCCCACUACCUCGUUAAAUGGAACCUAAUGGAUCGUACACCGAGUAAGGAUGUUGGUGAAGAAAUUAUAUGAAAUGGAUAAGCAAUUAAAUGGUUUAAUUGAAGAAUGGUCAAGGUUCAUUAAUUAGUUAAUUAAUUAUACGAAAUGUUCGUGUUGGGCUUAUAUGUUGGUUUUGGGUUUCGGGGCCCAAAAGCGUUUUGGUCCACAAGGCCCAUUAUGUUUAAGUUGUAUGACAACUACAACAAAAUGGGCAAUUAGCCCAAUCAAUUUGAUAUGGCCGGCCAUUAGGGUGAGUAUUAUCAAACUUGGAUUAAUUACAAGUUUGCCACUCACAAGUGAUGAAGUAUAAAUUCAACUUUAUAGCUUUAUUUUCUUUUAGGGUUUUUCUUGGUGAAAUGAGGUGAAACAUUUUCUCUCAUUCUCUCUAAAGAGGCCGGCCACCUAGGGAAGAAAUAGCUAGCAAUCUCUUCUUCCCUAAGUCAUCCAUUUCAUCUUCACAUCACAUCCUUGGUGAAGAGACUUAGAGACAUUAAGCUUUUGAUGUUUUGGAGAACAAAUCCUCAAAUCCUCAAAGAAGCAAAGGAGCACUAAAAGGAGGAAAAUCACAAGGAAGAUCCAAGAAGCAAGGAGGUGACUUGAAGGCCCUCCACUUGGGUGAAUACCUUGUGUAAUCAAGGAUGAGCUUCAAGGGUAAAGAAACUCUAAAUCUUUCCUUCUCUUUAAUGUUGUUAAAGAGUUUAUUGGUUCACCAUAUACUAGGCUUCGAAAGUCAUGGGUUUUAUGAAUUGUUUUUUAAUGCAUGCCUACUUUAAUGUGUUAAUAGUUUGCAUAUGUAUUCAAAUGUUCUUACUUGUUCUUAGUUAGGAAAUUUUUUUUCCUUCAAGUGGUAUCAGAGCCUAGGCCUAGUUUAUGGUGAAUCCUUUUGGGUUUUGUGUUUUUCAUGGUUUGUGAUUUAAAUGUUGUAAAUGUUACAAGCUUUGUUCUUGCUUUUGAAUAUAAAUUUUGCUAGAAAAUUUAGCAUCUCAAAUGUUGUAGAUGUAUUUCAUUUAAGCAUGAAUAUUGGAACUAAAAUUUGGUGCCAUGUAUGUUGGGAAAUUCAGCCAAAUCCAAAUGAUGAUUUUUUGGGUUCAUGUUUGUCUUGUUAAAAUGGUUUUAAAGUGACUUUUGGAACCCCUAAGUACCCUAGGAUGUUAGCCCUCUUUUGAGUAUUGAAAAUUUGAGUUUUGGUGAGUGAAAACAUUAAUGGAGCUAUUAUGAGUUUUCAUGAGUGUUCUUCAAUGUUCUUGAAGUUCUUGCCAAGAACAAAAAGGUUUGGAGUUUUGAUUCAAAAAUUUAAUGUUUUUCAUAAAGUUUUGGUUUAUAUUUGAUGCAUGAUGGUUAUUGGUGAAGGAUAAUAAAUAUCUUUCAUGUUAGACAAAAAUAUCAUACAAACCAUCUUAAUCACCUUUAACCUCACCUACUAAAAUCAACUUGCAAAAACUUUUUAAAAUUUUUUGACUUCUCUCCAAAAACUGGCCACCCUAAAGAAAAGGGUAUUUUAGGGCCUUUUGUGCAAUUACAUAAAGUUUUGAUACUUUUGUGUAUUUGCAUUUUGGCCCAAAAGUUUACGUUUUUACGUUAAGGCCCAAAAACUCUAAAGGACAAAUUGUUUUGCUCCUUUAAUGAUGUUUUUACAUUGUUAAAAUUUUGGGAUCUAGUUGUAAUUACAUGAAGUUGUGGACUCUUGUGUUUUUACAAAGUGACCCCAAAAGUUUUUGUUUAUUAAAUAAUGGCCCAAUUGUUGAGGUCAUUGUUUUUGGCCCAAAUAAGAUGAGAACAAAAUGGUUUUGUCUCUUUAAUGAGAAUUGGAUUUUCAUUUCAAAUAGUUCCAUUUAAAUCAAUUCUAUGAAUCCGAAAACCAAUUGUUUAAGUUGCUUUCUUAGUUAA
rnacentral:lncRNA from 1 species